rnacentral:rRNA from 1 species
ACCAGACUCCUACGGGAGGCAGCAGUAGGGAAUUUUCGUCAAUGGGCGCAAGCCUGAACGAGCAAUGCCGCGUGAGUGAGGAAGGUCUUCGGAUCGUAAAGCUCUGUUGCAGGUCAGAAAAGAAGGAAAGAGGAAAUGCUUUUCUUUUGAUAGUAACCUGCCAGAAAGUCACGGCUAACUACGUGCCAGCAGCCGCGGUAAUACGGAGGAUGCGAGCGUUAUCCGGAUUUAUUGGGUUUAAAGGGUGCGUAGGCGGGCUUUUAAGUCAGCGGUAAAAAUUCGGGGCUCAACCCCGUCCGGCCGUUGAAACUGGGGGCCUUGAGUGGGCGAGAAGAAGGCGGAAUGCGUGGUGUAGCGGUGAAAUGCAUAGAUAUCACGCAGAACCCCGAUUGCGAAGGCAGCCUUCCGGCGCCCUACUGACGCUGAGGCACGAAAGUGCGGGGAUCGAACAGGAUUAGAUACCCUCGUA